GAAAUAUCAACAAUGUUUAAAGCAUAUAAAAAUAAUGAUUAAUAUAUGCCGAAGAGUUUAUAUAGAGAAUAUGCCCUGAACAAAUAGAAAAUCAUGCUAUUUAAAAUUUAUCAUCAACUUUAUUUCAAAAUUAUGAAUACUCAUUACCAGUUUGAAAUUAAUAAUGAAAAAGAGAGAAAAACGAAAGCAUUUUUCAGUAAAUAUGUCUGCUUAUUUAAUUCAUUUGAAUUAUAAAUUUACUUUUAAAACUAUAAAAAGAAACCAAUGCUAUGAAAUACAUAAUAAAUGUUUUUACAUCGAUAUCAAAGUAAUCAUAGCUUCCAGGAUAACCAGCACAAGUUUUGGUAUCAACAUCUUGAUAUAGCCCUAGCUUAAGUCCUUUGGAAUGAACAUAAUCAGCUAAUCCUUUAAUACCAUUUGGGAAUCGUUUAUGAUCAGGCACAAGUUUACCAUUUGCAUCACGUUCUUUUUCCAUCCAGCAAACGUCAAUGUUUGGGUAUUCCUAACCCAAGUCUUUAUAGCCAUCUGCUACCAACCUGUCAGCCAUCUGUUUGUAGAGUCUUUCGCUGAUGCAGUUUUCAGAGUCAUUUUUACAAUCGGUAUUGCAGGUGAAUCGUUCCCAAGACAGCCAACCCAUUGGUGGGCGUAGAGGUUGUCAGUUAUUUUAUCCGAGCUCAGAAAAUGUACUUCCUGGAGAACAGCUUGUCACCAAAGAUUGUUAGUACAAUGUGGAAAUACUAGACUAGACGAAUCUUUUGCUAUCAAAUGGAAUGUGGGAAAAUAACUCUAAGCGAGAGCAGUUCAUUCUGUGAAAGAGAAAGUUGAAAGAGGUUGCUAUUGUUCAUUCUUCAGCAUGAUUUCAGUUAAUAAUAGACAGGAGACAUUGGAAUAACAUUAUCAGUGAAAAUAGUUUUAGAGAAACAGACCACUCUGCGUUUUUACUCCAAAAAGAUAAGUGAUAAAUCUUCACUAAGACUUCCAUCUCUUCCACGGAAAGAUUACAAUGGAUAUUAAGGAGGAGGUGAAAGACAGCUCGAUAACUGAUAAGACACAGCAGUCUUCCAUCUUCAGAGGACUUGUAUUAGCCCUGCUCUCGGGUGCAUCCUUCUCCGUUGUCCCUAUGAUGGUCAAAAAGAUGAAGAACCUCCAUCCAGGUCAACUCGCUGUCUCGCGACAUUCAUCAUGUCUAUGCCAGAGACUGUCAGAACUGGACAAAAUCCUUUGGGCCCUCCCCAUUUUCGCUUCUUUC